GCCUGGCUUGCUCAGUCGGUGGAGCAUAGGACUCUUGAUCUUGGAGUUGUAAGUUCGAGCCCUACAUUGGGUG
rnacentral:tRNA from 1 species